GAGUUUGAUCUGGCUCAGGAUGAACGCUGGCGGCGUGCUUAACACAUGCAAGUCGAACGGGAAUGCCACGCUGAUGCGAUUUCGGUCAAAUCAUGUGGCAUUCGAGUGGCGGACGGGUGAGUAACGCGUGGGUAACCUGCCUUACACAGGGGGAUAACACCUGGAAACAGGUGCUAAUACCGCAUAAGCGCACAGGGCCGCAUGGCCCGGUGUGAAAAACUCCGGUGGUGUAAGAUGGACCCGCGUCUGAUUAGCUUGUUGGCGGGGUAGGGGCCCACCAAGGCGACGAUCAGUAGCCGGCCUGAGAGGGUGGACGGCCACAUUGGGACUGAGACACGGCCCAAACUCCUACGGGAGGCAGCAGUGGGGGAUAUUGGACAAUGGGGGAAACCCUGAUCCAGCGACGCCGCGUGAGUGAAGAAGUAUUUCGGUAUGUAAAGCUCUGUCAGCAGGGAAGAAAGAAAUGACGGUACCUGACCAAGAAGCCCCGGCUAACUACGUGCCAGCAGCCGCGGUAAUACG
rnacentral:rRNA from 1 species